UGGCAAACACCUGAACCCACUUUAGGUAAGUUUUUGGUGCCAGUGUGAGGCUGUGCUCUCGCGAUACCUGGCUCCUGGGGUUUUCCCCAAAGCAGAGCCGCCACCGUGAUGACUUGCCGGGAAGCCUUCAAGGAGUCACUACUCCCAGACAGGUGGUUUGGGACAAUGUUCCCAGCAGCUGCUGAGACCACUUUUGGGGGGAGAGUCUCCCUGUCUCUCCCCUGCGCAGCACUGGCGGCAGUGUAUGCUUCUCCUUGGUGGAAUGGAAUCAUGCCUCUGGACAAGCUGACAAGCCCCGUGACCCAAGUGGGAUGCAGAAGUGACUCGAGGUCAGGAGCUUGUUCUCCUGUCUCCACAAUGGCUCCCUGUUGAGAAAAUACUCGGUGUCCCAGAGGCAGAGUGGAGAGAGGAACAGGUGUGCUGGCAAGGACAGAAUGCCACGCAGGAUCCAUGGGGAGACUUUCUGCAGGCCAGCUUCCAGUCUGUUCCCGGUGUCGUUCGUCUUCGAACAAGCUCACGCUCUAUUUGUGGCAGGUGGCAGAAGCACAAGAAGCCCAGCUACAGGGAAGCACGGUUAAAGCCUCUGCUCACGUCAUCUUUGCUCACAUCCUAUUGGCCAGAGCAAGUCACAUGGCCAACAUCAACUGGACCAGGAUGUAAAUUUCUCCCACGGAAGUUGAGAGAAGCCAGGACAAGGGCCAGGAAGGAAGGACUUGACCUCACAAGACCCCAGAAUGGUGGUCCAGUGUGGAGGAUGUCUGAGAUCACUGCCCACCAGCCAGCAGAGUGGAGGUGGGCAAAGAAUCCAGCUGCCAAUACAAAAGCUUCAGGAGACACACUUUCGGUCCCUGGGUCAAGAAGAUCCCCCUGGAGGAGGAAAUGGCAACCUACUCCAGUAUUCUUGUCAAGAUAAUCCCAUGGACAGAAGGUCCUGGCAGGCUACAGCUUCCACAUAACAUUGAGCAAAGUUUGAGAAAAACAGCGACAUGGCAAGAGAAAGAGCGCGAGGUUAGAGACUUUGUCUUUCCAAGGCUGAUGGUAUGAUCCUCCUGCCAUGAAGCCACCUGUUGGUGUCUCUCUGCCUAAAGACCACAGUUCCGUAAUCCACGCCUCCCUCGCAGUGCCGCACUCCAGCCCUCAGGAACUCUGAAAGGAGGCUGCCCAACUGCCACUUCCCUGUGGAGGUCUUCUCCUGCCAGAGGUCUCGCCUACAGGAUCUCUCAUCACCUUUGUGUAUCACCUGCGGAGUCUCACCGCAAUCUGUCAACCUUAUUUGCUUAAAUCCGUCCACCCCACUAGAAGAUGAGCUUCCCAAAGAGCAGGACCUCUGGUCUUUCUUCAGGGCCCUGAAGCUGGUGGAUCCCGACUGAAACUCUCGGACUGAAUGACAGCUCAGAGUCCAUCAGAUAUUGAGCAGACUCCCUUUCCCCCCAGCCCCGCCCCCAGCUUUCUUCACCGGAAAUCAUUUCAAAAUCAUUCAUUUUGGAAAUAAGGCUUCUAGGGCUUCGACCGCACCCACCCACCUACGUUCCAACGGUUAGAAC
ensembl:lncRNA